rnacentral:tRNA from 1 species
GGGGCUAUGGCUCAGCAGUAGAGCACUUGUCUGGCAUGUAUGAGGCACUGGGUUCAAUUCUCAGCACCA